rnacentral:rRNA from 1 species
CCAGCCAAGUAGCGUGAAGGAUGACUGCCCUAUGGGUUGUAAACUUCUUUUAUAAAGGAAUAAAGUCGGGUAUGCAUACCCGUUUGCAUGUACUUUAUGAAUAAGGAUCGGCUAACUCCGUGCCAGCAGCCGCGGUAAUACGGAGGAUCCGAGCGUUAUCCGGAUUUAUUGGGUUUAAAGGGAGCGUAGAUGGAUGUUUAAGUCAGUUGUGAAAGUUUGCGGCUCAACCGUAAAAUUGCAGUUGAUACUGGAUAUCUUGAGUGCAGUUGAGGCAGGCGGAAUUCGUGGUGUAGCGGUGAAAUGCUUAGAUAUCACGAAGAACUCCGAUUGCGAAGGCAGCCUGCUAAGCUGCAACUGACAUUGAGGCUCGAAAGUGUGGGUAUCAAACAGGAUUAGAUACCCUGGUAGUCCACACGGUAAACGAUGAAUACUCGCUGUUUGCGAUAUACGGCAAGCGGCCAAGCGGAAGCGUUAAGUAUUCCACCUGGGGAGUACGCCGGCAACGGUGAAACUCAAAGGAAUUGACGGGGGCCCGCACAAGCGGAGGAACAUGUGGUUUAAUUCGAUGAUACGCGAGGAACCUUACCCGGGCUUAAAUUGCAGAUGAAUUACGGUGAAAGCCGUAAGCCGCAAGGCAUCUGUGAAGGUGCUGCAUGGUUGUCGUCAGCUCGUGCCGUGAGGUGUCGGCUUAAAUGCCAUAACGAGCGCAACCCUUGUUGUCAGUUACUAACAGGUCAUGCUGAGGACUCUGACAAGACUGCCAUCGUAAGAUGUGAGGAAGGUGGA